UGGGGAAUAUUGCACAAUGGGCGCAAGCCUGAUGCAGCCAUGCCGCGUGUGUGAAGAAGGCCUUCGGGUUGUAAAGCACUUUCAGCGGGGAGGAAGGCGAUAAGGUUAAUAACCUUGGCGAUUGACGUUACCCGCAGAAGAAGCACCGGCUAACUCCGUGCCAGCAGCCGCGGUAAUACGGAGGGUGCAAGCGUUAAUCGGAAUUACUGGGCGUAAAGCGCACGCAGGCGGUUGAUUGAGUCAGAUGUGAAAUCCCCGGGCUUAACCCGGGAAUUGCAUCUGAUACUGGUCAGCUAGAGUCUUGUAGAGGGGGGUAGAAUUCCAUGUGUAGCGGUGAAAUGCGUAGAGAUGUGGAGGAAUACCGGUGGCGAAGGCGGCCCCCUGGACAAAGACUGACGCUCAGGUGCGAAAGCGUGGGGAGCAAACAGG
rnacentral:rRNA from 1 species